UACAGAGGGGGCGAGCGUUGUUCGGAAUUACUGGGCGUAAAGGGCGCGUAGGCGGCCUGCUAAGUCGAACGUGAAAUCCCCGGGCUCAACCCGGGAACUGCGUCCGAUACUGGAAGGCUUGAAUCCGGGAGAGGGAUGUGGAAUUCCAGGUGUAGCGGUGAAAUGCGUAGAUAUCUGGAGGAACACCGGUGGCGAAGGCGACAUCCUGGACCGGUAUUGACGCUGAGGCGCGAAAGCCAGGGGAGCAAACGGG
rnacentral:rRNA from 1 species